rnacentral:lncRNA from 1 species
GGCGAUGACUAUUUUGAGUUACAAUCAGGAAUGUUUGAUUUAAACCGUAAGUCUAAGUAUUCUCUAAUUGUAUUGUAUAUGUAAUGUUAAAGAAUAAAAACAUCCAUAACGUCAAUCAAUACACAAUUAUCAUAAAUAUGGCAUCUUUUGUUUCAUCAUUAUUACUACAUCUGUGUUAAUACAAUAUAAGUCAAUAUUUCAGUGUAGACAUAUUUCGACAAAAUAUUUACGCUAAAAAGAAUGAGUUGUGAUGUUUAAGUAUAAAGUUUACCUGCUUUAGAACCGUUAUAUAUACAAGGGGGUGAAUCUACGUCAUCACGCAGGGUGUCGGCGAUUGAAAUUGGACCACCAUUUUGUCGCUUCAAGGUNCUACGUUUCAAAGGUUUAAACUGUGUGUUAAACCUUUGAAAUUUUACAAUCAUAAGGAUAAAACUUGCAUACUAGAUAUUGAAACGCGCAUCUGACGUAUCAAAGUGUAAGCCUGGUACCGAAUACAAAUUCACAGCAUAACAAAAACGCGUUUAACCCAUAAUCGAUCGGGAAAUGCAUGUUCUAAGUCAGAUAUAUAGCAGUUGAUUUUCACUUGUUCCGUUGAGUGAUAGCGAAGGGUUUUCAUCAAAUUGUAUUGACUUUCCCUGCGUAAUUUUGCAUUAAUGUUUAAAUCAUGAUUUUGAAUCAAUUUUUUUUUCGUUUGUCUAUCUUAUUUCAAUACUGAUCAAACAUAAAUAGGAACUACAAAACAUUUAUUGAUUUCCAAUAGAGAUUGAAUCUAUUUUAAUCCCAAUUACAGACACAAUCAUCAAUAUACUCUUAUAUGAGUUAUUAGCGUAAAAUGACGAUAUUCGACCAAUUUAGAAUUACACUUAUCAUCAUAAAUACAUAUUAACUGAAAAUAGUAGAGGUCAUCUUCAUACAUGUUGCACAUUGUUGGAGUUCGAACAUUGACCUCCAGUUGUUUACAUCCAUGCUAUUUGGAUUUACUAUAUUUGCAAUAAUACAACACCUCUUAAUUUUUUAGGCAGUUAAGCUGCCUUAUGCGAGCACCCUAGAUUUGUGUUCUACCCAAUAAAUGCUGAAAUAUGUGCCACUGUUAUUAUCUAGCUGGAUGUUAUGUUAUUCAUAACUAAUUGGACAUUUUUUUCAUACUUUUAAUUCUUGAAUACAAAAUAUGAUCGAAAACCGAAAUGAUCGUCGAUUUAUCCAAAAGUUUUGAAGUGCACAUAGGAAGUAGGGCACAUUAGGAAUUUGUAUGUAGUUAUUUCCCCUGAGAUUUUGGCUAAAGCUGUCAAAGAACAAUAUGUAUGAAUGUUAAUCGCCGAAAAUUCUAAAGACAAGUUUUGUGGCAAAAGUCGUAGGAAUAUGUUUGUCGUCAAUAUUAUCAACUACGUCAGUAGUCUUAAAUAAGUUCCACUGUUCAUGCUGUUUGGCGGCAAUUUUAAAUAUAAAACGAUUUUUUUGUAUCUUUUCAAUUUCGAGGUUCAAUUAGCGGUGUCCGAGUCUCGCAACUUCCAUUUUGCAGUCGGACUUUCGACUUGGUACUAGCUACGCUCGACAUGCACACUUGAGAGGAAAAACAAAAUAACUUUGCAAACCUUUUACAGUCUCCUAAUAAACGAUCUCAAAACUUGUUUUUAGCAUUAUUAUCAUGACAGCGAUGUUCAUUUUGUUUCAACCGCUAGCUUUAUACAGAAAAUCGCCGACAUAAUGUGUAAAUUCGAGUAAAAUCGUAUCUGACAAAAACACAUUGAAAACAAAAUGGCUGACAUGAGAAGAAUCUCAAUAUCGGAUCCGAUUCCGGAAUCGGAUAUGGUAAUUCCGGUUUGGCGAUCUUUGAACUUUUAAAAAAUCAGACAUGACAAAAUACAUCUUUGCAUGAAAUAAUAUAAACACUGAUUAAAAACCAAAAGAAUAUGUAAAGAAUGAAAAAAACAGAAAUAUUUUGUACUGAAAAUGUGACAAACGUACAAUUAAAUACAUAUGAUGAAGUAGAGUAGAUAUAAUGGUGCAACAGUGCCAGAGUUCUGAAGAUCCAUAGGUAUCCAUAGGAACUCAAAUUACUUUUUGACAAAUUUUUAAUGUCAAAAUCUUAUACAAUGUGAGUCUUUGUGACAGCUGGGAACAGUAUAUCUAACAAUAUAUAUGGUCCUGGUGACAGUAUAAUUUUUCUUUAUCAGUAAUAAAUGUUGGUAAAGCAAGUUAGAUGCUUUAAAAGUGUAAACAUAUUACUAAAUGGGUAUUUUUUUCUCAAUUUGAUGGGUCAGUUAAAAUAGCUGGAAGUUUCUUAUUUUACACAUGUAUAAGCAAAUUAUAUAUGUGUGGAGUCCUUUUGGGGGCACUCUACCCCUUCCUGUUUGAUAACUUUGAAACGGAUGAGAUCCCCACCUCUCAACCAUAUGCAUUCAUGUAUGGGACUAUAUAACUAAUCAAAUGAAAUAUAGGUUAAGUCCUAGGGUCACCACCACCUCCUGCUUCAGAAUUGGAAACAGUCGAGAUCCGCACCACUUAACCAUUUAUUCAUGUAUGGGACAAUAUAACCAAUCAAAUAAACAGGGGGAGUCCCUUGGGUCACCCCACCACUCCUGUUUGGGAACUUUGAAACAGUCGAGAUCCCCACCCUAACCAUAUACUAUAAUUCAUGUAUGGGACAAUAUAUAAAUCAAUGAAAUAUGGGGGAGUCCUUGUGAGUCAUCCCAACCUCCUGUUUAGACUUGGAAACGGUCGAGAUCCCAACCCCUAAACAUAUAUAUUCCGUAUGGGACAAUAUAAGCAAAUCAUAUGAAAUAUAGGUGGAGUUCGUGGGGCCACUCUCCCCUUCCUGUUGAGAAUUUGAAACGGUUGAGAUCCCUCCUAAACCAUAUAUAUUAUGUAUUGGAAAUAUAACAAAUCAAAUGAAUUAUAGGGGGGUCCCUAGGUCACUGCACCUCAUGUUUGAGAACUUAGAAACAGUUGAUCCUUACCACGUAACCAUAUAUCUCAUGUAUGGACUAAAUAACAAAUCAAAUAAAAUAUAGGGGAAGUCCCUGUGGUCACCCCACCCCUCCUGUUGUUUGAGAACUUGGAAGCAGUCGAGAUCCUAACUUUAAAUUAAACCAUAUAUUUUCAUGUAUGGACAAAGAACAAAUCGAAUGAAAUAUAGGGAGAGUCCUAAGGGUCAGCUACCCCACCCCUCGACCAUAUAUAUUCAUGUAUACAAUAUAACAAAUCAAUGAAAUAUAGGGAAGCACUGGGUCCACCCUACAUAUAUAUUCAUGUAUGGGACAUAUAAAAAAUAAAAAAAUAGGGGUAGUCCUUCGGGUCAUCCACCCUUUGUGUGUUUUGAGAACUUGUAAAAGAUUGAGAUACCAACUCCUAAACCAUAUUCAUUCCUGUUUUGUCUUUAAAAAGAUUGAAUGACAUACAAGGUCAAUCUCAUAGGCGUCAAAUGCAUAUCACUUUGUUAGACCUAACACCUUCAUUUUAUUCCAAACUUAGACAUCAUGGACUUGGGUUGAAGGUGGGAGUCAUUACAUUUAACUAUGGACAGGUCAGUCAGACCUCAUAUUGAUCCUUAGUGUAAAAUUUGUCUUUUGUGUCUAAAUUUUGUACUGUAGAACACAAAACUCAUUUCUUUCCAGGGAAGCAAGUCAUUCAUACUUUUACAAGCUCGUACUAAAGUCAACUUGAAAUACUAACAGUCAACUAAUCGACAAUUACGAUCACUAGAAGAACUGCAAUCAUUGCGAAUUUGUAACACUGCUGACUCGAGACUCAUGACCAUGAAAAAAUAUACUUGAUAUAUACCUUGCUAUUGAACUUGAUAAAAUAUGAAUUAUUUGCCUUAAUGAUUAAUUCAUUAAAUGAACAUAAAUGUCAUAUAUAUGAAUGUUUAAUGUUUGUUCUUUUAAAUCUUUAAAAAAAAUUGAAGCAACAUUGCCACAGUUUUCAUAAUUAUAUUUGCCUUGGUUUUUGGUUAACUGCCUACAGUGUUUACAGCGCUCUGAUUUUUGUAUAUAGACAAUCUUUACAUAUAAACUCGUGACUGAAACUGUCAAUUUACAUUUACUCAUAUUUAACUGUUGUCAAUAAAUAUGAGACAUUCGAUAUAUACGUAUGAAAAUAAGCAGUUUAUUUCCUGCCAGAAAAAAACCCUAAAUACUGGAAAAGGAAUGACAAUUUUCUGGCAGGUGAGCGAUUAUGGUCGUAGACUACCUCUUUUUAUGAAGACGAAAUGUUCUGUAGAUCCUUUGUCAAUUUCUAAUUCACUUAUUUUCUUAAUUUUUCAGAUUAUGAGUAACUCAACAGAAGAAUUUAGUUUACAGGAAAGAACGUCCUUACUUGGACUUGUUAUUUUUGGUAUUCUAUCGGUUAUCAUCAUUGUUGUUAUAGCAACCUGCAAGUUUGGAUGUCAAGAACAGCCUUACAAGAGACGUAUCUCACCAGUAGCCCAGGCAUCUAAGGGGAAUCUUUUUCAAGUUAGCAUGUAUAUGUCAAAAUUACAUUUCAAUCUGUUAGACUUUAAAGAGGGAGCUAAUACAAAUGUGGUAGAAACAACAGAUAACAUUGAAAAGGAACACGAAAAUCGCAAAAAAGUGAAGUUAAAAAAAGAUUCAGAUAACAUGCUGACUGGAUGAACUAUACAUAUUCAGCUGUUGUGACAAUUUGUUAGUGUUAACUAUCUGCCAUUACCAAGUGAAACAAGCUGCUCAAAAGUGCAAACUUGACAUUGGAAAAAGAACAUUGUCUACAUGUUUUUAAACAACCUUUCUAAACUAUGCAUGUUGCGUGUUUUUAAACA